GAUGAACGCUGGCGGCGUGCCUAAUACAUGCAAGUCGAGCGAACGGACGAGAAGCUUGCUUCUCUGAUGUUAGCGGCGGACGGGUGAGUAACACGUGGAUAACCUACCUAUAAGACUGGGAUAACUUCGGGAAACCGGAGCUAAUACCGGAUAAUAUUUUGAACCGCAUGGUUCAAAAGUGAAAGACGGUCUUGCUGUCACUUAUAGAUGGAUCCGCGCUGCAUUAGCUAGUUGGUAAGGUAACGGCUUACCAAGGCAACGAUGCAUAGCCGACCUGAGAGGGUGAUCGGCCACACUGGAACUGAGACACGGUCCAGACUCCUACGGGAGGCAGCAGUAGGGAAUCUUCCGCAAUGGGCGAAAGCCUGACGGAGCAACGCCGCGUGAGUGAUGAAGGUCUUCGGAUCGUAAAACUCUGUUAUUAGGGAAGAACAUAUGUGUAAGUAACUGUGCACAUCUUGACGGUACCUAAUCAGAAAGCCACGGCUAACUACGCGCCAGCAGCCGCGGUAAUACGUAGGUGGCAAGCGUUAUCCGGAAUUAUUGGGCGUAAAGCGCGCGUAGGCGGUUUUUUAAGUCUGAUGUGAAAGCCCACGGCUCAACCGUGGAGGGUCAUUGGAAACUGGAAAACUUGAGUGCAGAAGAGGAAAGUGGAAUUCCAUGUGUAGCGGUGAAAUGCGCAGAGAUAUGGAGGAACACCAGUGGCGAAGGCGACUUUCUGGUCUGUAACUGACGCUGAUGUGCGAAAGCGUGGGGAUCAAACAGGGUUAGAUACCCUGGUAGUCCACGCCGUAAACGAUGAGUGCUAAGUGUUAGGGGGUUUCCGCCCCUUAGUGCUGCAGCUAACGCAUUAAGCACUCCGCCUGGGGAGUACGACCGCAAGGUUGAAACUCAAAGGAAUUGACGGGGACCCGCACAAGCGGUGGAGCAUGUGGUUUAAUUCGAAGCAACGCGAAGAACCUUACCAAAUCUUGACAUCCUUUGACAACUCUAGAGAUAGAGCUUUCCCCUUCGGGGGACAAAGUGACAGGUGGUGCAUGGUUGUCGUCAGCUCGUGUCGUGAGAUGUUGGGUUAAGUCCCGCAACGAGCGCAACCCUUAAGCUUAGUUGCCAUCAUUAAGUUGGGCACUCUAAGUUGACUGCCGGUGACAAACCGGAGGAAGGUGGGGAUGACGUCAAAUCAUCAUGCCCCUUAUGAUUUGGGCUACACACGUGCUACAAUGGACAAUACAAAGGGCAGCGAAACCGCGAGGUCAAGCAAAUCCCAUAAAGUUGUUCUCAGUUCGGAUUGUAGUCUGCAACUCGACUACAUGAAGCUGGAAUCGCUAGUAAUCGUAGAUCAGCAUGCUACGGUGAAUACGUUCCCGGGUCU
rnacentral:rRNA from 1 species